rfam:Spinacia oleracea cultivar SynViroflay scaffold35536.con0002.1, whole genome shotgun sequence.
GUCUCUUCGGAGGCAUCUUAUAAAAAUGGAACGAUACAGAGAAGAUUAGCAUGGCCCAUGUGCAAGGAUGACACACACAAAGCGAGAAAUGGUCCCAAGUUUU